GUGCACAAUGGCAUAUUCUACAGCACGCGAGGUUUCCAGUAUGUUUUCUCCUAGUGUUACCACAGCUGUGCUGCUUUUCCUCAUUGUUGCAGCCACGGCGAGUCAAACCUUAGGCAGUGUAUCUCCGAAAGACUUAUGCCUCUUGGACCAAAGAGUACCCGGAUGGGGAGGAAACAACGGAGGACAGAUACUAAGAUGAAAGGCCAGGCCUGUAAGAACACCGAGGAGUGUCAAAUGCAUUUAUGUUGCCGAGUACGCCAAUCGGUGGGUACUUGCCAACCGCUGGCUAUGUGCGGACAAAGGUGCUCGGAAGAUCAGCUCAGGGGUGGCAGCUAUUAUAUGUACUGCCCCUGCAAAGCCGGUAUAGGGGCUUGUGAGAACGGUACAUGCUUGCGAUGACUCUUCAAAUAUAUGGUCCUUAGCUGCUGUGAAACCAGGUGGCAAUGUGUGGGAAAAUCUUAUACCGUCUUCGUGUACAGAAAAUUCUAACCAGACUACUAUAAAGAUAACCUUACUGUAUAUAUAU
rnacentral:lncRNA from 1 species